UUGGAGGGCAAGUCUGGUGCCAGCAGCCGCGGUAAUUCCAGCUCCAAUAGCGUAUAUUAAAGUUGUUGCAGUUAAAAAGCUCGUAGUUGAAUUUCGGGAUCAAUUUAUUGGUCGUGCCAACGGUACGCACUGGUACAAUUGGUUUCUCCCUUCUGACGAAGCAUGAUGUCAUUAAUUUGAUGUCGUGGGGAAUCAGGACUGUUACUUUGAAAAAAUUAGAGUGUUUAAAGCAGGCUUUGGCUUGAAUACAUUAGCAUGGAAUAAUGAAAUAGGACGUUUGAUCUUAUUUCGUUGGUUUCUAAGAUCGACGUAAUGAUUAAUAGGGAUAGUUGGGGGCAUUAGUAUUCAAUUGUCAGAGGUGAAAUUCUUGGAUUUAUUGAAGACUAACUACUGCGAAAGCAUUUGCCAAGGAUGUUUUCAUUAAUCAAGAACGAAAGUUAGGGGAUCGAAGACGAUCAGAUACCGUCGUAGUCUUAACCAUAAACUAUGCCGACUAGGGAUCGGAUGAUGUUAAUUUUUUAAUGACUCAUUCGGCGCCUUACGGGAA
rnacentral:rRNA from 1 species